rnacentral:rRNA from 1 species
AACGAACGCUGGCGGCAUGCCUAACACAUGCCAGUCGAACGAGACCUUCGGGUCUAGUGGCGCACGGGUGCGUAACGCGUGGGAACCUGCCCUUAGGUUCGGAAUAACUCCCCGAAAGGGGUGCUAAUACCGGAUAAUGUCUUCGGACCAAAGAUUUAUCGCCUUUGGAUGGGCCCGCGUUGGAUUAGCUAGUUGGUAGGGUAAAAGCCUACCAAGGCGACGAUCCAUAGCUGGUCUGAGAGGAUGAUCAGCCACACUGGGGCUGAGACACGGCCCAGACUCCUACGGGAGGCAGCAGUGGGGAAUAUUGGACAAUGGGCGAAAGCCUGAUCCAGCAAUGCCGCGUGAGUGAUGAAGGCCUUAGGGUUGUAAAGCUCUUUUACCCGGGAUGAUAAUGACAGUACCGGGAGAAUAAGCGCCGGCUAACUCCGUG